rnacentral:misc_RNA from 1 species
GAUGAAGAACGCAGCGAAAUGCGAUAAGUAAUGUGAAUUGCAGAAUUCAGUGAAUCAUCGAAUCUUUGAACGCACAUUGCGCCCCCUGGUAUUCCGGGGGGCAUGCCUGUCCGAGCGUCAUUACAACCCUCAAGCUCAGCUUGGUGUUGGGCCCCGCCGCCCCGGCGGGCCCUAAAGUCAGUGGCGGUGCCGUCCGGCUCCGAGCGUAGUAAUUCUUCUCGCUCUGGGGGCCCGGUCGUGUGCUCGCCAGCAACCCCCAAUUUUUUUCAGGUUGACCUCGGAUCAGGUAGGGAUACCCGCUGAACUUAAGCAUAUCAAUAAGCGGAGGA